rnacentral:lncRNA from 1 species
AUCCACUCCUGGGCUCUUCUGCUCACAGGUUGCCCUGGUGGCAGGAUUCAGUCAACCUCUACACCACCCUCUGGCUUCUGCUCAGGACCUCAGACGUGUCUUUCAUUCAGAGCCUAGGAGAGAGGCCCAGAGCACGGGAGCUGUGGCAGAGUCUGUGCUGGUCAGGGUCCGACCCGCUGAGCAGAAUGUGGGUUGACCAGCUUGGAGAAACUGAAGGAGAGCUUCUACCUUCACAUGAACACCUGCAAAUCUUCCAGAAGCUAAAGGAUGAGUGAGAGUAACAGCAAGAGAUGCCUGCUGCCUACCACCAGGGCUGGGGGCAGAGGAGCCUUUAUUUCCCAGACCUUCCACGGUGAUUAAGUCUCCAAACUUUUCCUUAACCAUCAUAUCUUCAAAAUGAAAAACCAAAUUGCAUCUCCGAGAGCUUGGAAAUCGAUUUCUUUCAAAAUGAACUUUGGGCGAAACGAUUCCAAAGAGAAAUGAGAGAAGGAAGGCAUGUAAAAAGAGCUUUGUCUGGAUUCUCCACCUCACCCAAGGCUGCAUCUGAGAACCAGAACUCAUUGGCAUUACCCAGGAUAAUCAGACACGGUCCUAGAACCCCAAGACACCUACUGGGUAGUAUAUAAGGAGAGACCAAGAGCAACGCUCUGCCCAUCUGGAGAGAUGAGACCUUCCUUGAUCAGCCCUGGGGCUGGAGAGUCUCCCUCAGGAUCCUGGCCCUUGCAUCAAAGACUUCUGCUAGAGACUGGGCCUGGCCUUCAGCUAUGAUACAUCCCAGGAAUGUGUGUCUGUCCACUCACAAGCAGGUCCUGCCAUAGGCUAGUGACACCUCUGCAGAUCCAUUCCUUCAGUGGGAACAGACUGGAGACCAGGAACAGCACCAGACAGGGAUGCCAAGCUGCAAGGGAGAUCAGUUCGCCUAGCUGUCCCUUUGGGAGUCCACACACAGCCCAGAGUGCUGAGUGACAGGCUGAGUGAGUAGUCGCUGGUAAUACCCAGGGAUCUCUGAAGAGCAGGUCACCUCUUGGAGACAGCCAUCAAGGGGGCUGCCUUAGGAAGCUGCAGAUGAGGGAUGUGGUCAGAGCCACAUGCUGUGCUUUGGGAUCUGAACAGAGCCACCACUCUGCGCUUUGGGACAUGGACAGAGCCACCAUGCCAUGCUUUGGGAUGAUGACGGGGCCAUCACAUUGUGCUGCUGGAAGUCCCUUCCCCACAAAAGGAGCAGCAUAGGGACAGCAUCGUAACAGGAAUCGGAAGCCACUGGAUGAGGCUGAGGGACCUAAAUGCACAGGCUCGGGAGAGUUAAGAGACAAGCAGGGGACUGGCUGAGACCCUGGGAGAGAACAGCAGCCUUUCUGCAGGGGGCAGAAAGGCUGUUCCCUGAGGCCAUGGGACCUCAGGGAACAGUUGGUGGGAGCUGCCGUAGACUCGGUCAGAGCCUCAUCUGGGGCAAACACAUGGGAGAGUCCCAGCUUCCCUCAAGAGCCUGUUCCAGGGCCUCCUGCUUGUCUAUCCCACCAACCCCACAAGAAACCGGUCAACAUGGAGCCUGAAGAAACUGUGCUUCCUGGGGCCAGACAUCCUCGGCUUCUGGGUAGACCAGGCCUGCCAGUCUCAAGCUGCUGGAACAGCACCAGGGCUGUUCUCUGCUGUGUGCUACCCACUCCAUGGAUGGCCCCUGCAGCCUGAGGUCUGACCACCUACUCUCCAGGGGUCUCUCUGGCCUCCAGGUCCCAAAUGGGAGUUGAACUGGGGUUGCAGAUUACAUAGUCUCUUCCAGAGCUUGGCACUCAGCCCCAGCUGGGACAGGAGAGCAAGGAUGGGUGAGGCUGGACCUUCAGGAACCAUCUAAGCCCCAGAAGCCGAGAAAGCAGCAGGCAGGUCCCAAGAGCUGUUGUGGGUACAGAAUCUUGUAGCUGGAAUUGUGCAUACUAUGAGGAUGUGUCCACCAGGGCUGGGUAACUAGCCGGAGUAUCAACCUAAGCCCGUGACUUGAAACUUAAGGCUUUGAGAGAUUAAAAGAAAUAGUGUGUGUGUGUAAGAGAGAGAGACAGAGACAGAGACAGACAGAGAGAGAGAGAGAGAGAGAGGGAGAGAGAGAGAGAGAGGCUGUCCAUAGAGGUUAUGGGUGCUGGGAAUUGAACUCAGGUCCUCCGGGAGAGCAGUACUCACUCCUAACUGGUGGCCGUCUCUCUAGCCUCCAAGGGAUGUUUUUUUGUUUGUUUUUGUUUUGUUUGUUUGUUUUUUGAGAUUGAGGCCAGACCCAUAAGCACUGGAGAACUUGCAACAGGCCAUUCACAAUCUUUGUCAGAGACGAGGUGUCCUGGAGGCUCUUCGGUCGCAGUCAGCCACACCUUUUGGGAAGGCUUUCCGGGGUCCAUGAAGCGCCCCCAUGCUUACCUUGGAAUUUCCUUUCUAGAUCUCUGAGAUGCUUAAGGCAGGGAUUUGCCUGCCCUACCCUGUUCUGCCACUCUCAGGCUGCUGGCAGGCAGGCGCUGGGCACUGAUGAUGUUUCAGACAGAAGCAGCAAGGGAGAGCAGGAGGGAGGGGCCACAUCCAGAGGGAGGGGACACUAAGAUUAGAGAGGGAGAAGCCUAUGACUGUCCGAGGGCCCCUUGAUCAUUCUUGUGAUGUUGGGACUGAUUGUGUGUAUACUAGGGAGCCUGCUGAAUCAUGGACAGGGUUUUGAGGUCCUCUGGGGACUGUCUCUGCAGACCCCUGAAGGUAGACUGAGAAUCCCCUUUCAAGUCCUGCAGCCUGUGUCCCUGCCCCUGGCUCUGUACUACUCUGCUCCCAGUCAUGGAUCCUGUCACCCUUCAAGGAAGUGGCAGAUGCUGCACCCCAGGGUGGGAUACAGGAAGCAGGAAGAGGUGUGGUGGGGGGAUGAGAGACAAUGUGGUGAGGGGCUUAUGCACUGUAUCUGUCUCUUUCGCAGGACGCCUUUACCUGGCUCCUUCCUCCUAGCCUCCUGUUCCUGGUGUUAUUUUUAAAGUUUCACUUUGUAAACGUUUGUGCUUUAUUUGUUUAUUCGCUGGAAUUACCGGUGCACUUAUGCAUUCAAUAUUUAAAAGGUAAGCG